GAUGAAGAACGUAGCGAAAUGCGAUAAGUAAUGCGAAUUGCAGAAUUCAGUGAGUCAUCGAAUCUUUGAACGCACAUUGCGCCCCUUGGUAUUCCGAGGGGCAUGCCUGUUCGAGCGUCAUUAUAACCCCUCAAGCUCGGCUUGGUGUUGGGGCCUGCCGCACGGGCAGCCCUUAAAAUCAGUGGCGGUGCCAUCUGGCUCUAAGCGUAGUAAUUCUUCUCGCUAUAGAGUCCCGGUGGAUGCUUGCCAUUAACCCCCAAUUUCAAUGGUUGACCUCGGAUCAGGUAGGGAUACCCGCUGAACUUAAGCAUAUCAAUAAGCGGAGGA
rnacentral:misc_RNA from 1 species